CCUACGGGUGGCAGCAGUCGAGGAUUUUUCUCAAUGGGGGCAACCCUGAAGGAGCGACGCCGCGUGGAGGAUGAAGGGCUUCGGCUUGUAAACUCCUGUCACCGACGAACAAGGCAUCCGGUUGAACAUUCCGGAUGAUUGAUGGUAGUCGGAGAGGAAGGGGCGGCUAACUCUGUGCCAGCAGCCGCGGUGAUACAGAGGCCCCGAGCGUUGUUCGGAUUUACUGGGCGUAAAGGGUGUGUAGGGGGUCGGGUAAGUUUGACGUGAAAGCCCGCUGCUUAACAGCGGAACGGCGUCGAAUACUGCCCGGCUGGAGGUUCGGAGAUGAGAGCGGAAUUCUCGGUGUAGCGGUGAAAUGCGUAGAUAUCGAGAGGAACGCCGACGGCGAAAGCAGCUCUCAAGACGACACCUGACCCUGAGACACGAAGGCCAGGGGAGCAAACGGGAUUAGAUACCCUUGUAGUC
rnacentral:rRNA from 1 species